rnacentral:misc_RNA from 1 species
UUUGGUGGAUUUCUUGUCCAAUUUUUGAUGGAGGACCUGGCCAACCAAUGGCCGCAAAUAGGUAGCAAAGGACCCACACACCAACCAGUCACAACUCCAAUUGUUGCUGCCACUACACCAUCAGCAAUAUAAAAUCCAUAUGGUGGAGGAACAGCACCCAUCAUACCCAUCUUCUCAAUCAAAAAUUGGACAAGAAAUCCACCAAAAUAAACUGAAUACAUGAUACAUGGAAGUAAAGGUAAUACGUAGAUGACUGUUGACCUGAG